UCGCAGUCGAACGAUGAACCACUUCGGUGGGGAUUAGUGGCGAACGGGUGAGUAACACGUGGGCAAUCUGCCCUGCACUCUGGGACAAGCCCUGGAAACGGGGUCUAAUACCGGAUACUGAGCUACUUGGGCAUCCAAGUGGUUCGAAAGCUCCGGCGGUGCAGGAUGAGCCCGCGGCCUAUCAGCUUGUUGGUGAGGUAAUGGCUCACCAAGGCGACGACGGGUAGCCGGCCUGAGAGGGCGACCGGCCACACUGGGACUGAGACACGGCCCAGACUCCUACGGGAGGCAGCAGUGGGGAAUAUUGCACAAUGGGCGAAAGCCUGAUGCAGCGACGCCGCGUGAGGGAUGACGGCCUUCGGGUUGUAAACCUCUUUCAGCAGGGAAGAAGCGAAAGUGACGGUACCUGCAGAAGAAGCGCCGGCUAACUACGUGCCAGCAGCCGCGGUAAUACGUAGGGCGCAAGCGUUGUCCGGAAUUAUUGGGCGUAAAGAGCUCGUAGGCGGCUUGUCACGUCGGUUGUGAAAGCCCGGGGCUUAACCCCGGGUCUGCAGUCGAUACGGGCAGGCUAGAGUUCGGUAGGGGAGAUCGGAAUUCCUGGUGUAGCGGUGAAAUGCGCAGAUAUCAGGAGGAACACCGGUGGCGAAGGCGGAUCUCUGGGCCGAUACUGACGCUGAGGAGCGAAAGCGUGGGGAGCGAACAGGAUUAGAUACCCUGGUAGUCCACGCCGUAAACGGUGGGCACUAGGUGUGGGCAACAUUCCACGUUGUCCGUGCCGCAACUAACGCAUUAAGUGCCCCGCCUGGGGA
rnacentral:rRNA from 1 species